CCUACGGGAGGCAGCAGUCGAGAAUCAUUCACAAUGGGGGAAACCCUGAUGGUGCGACGCCGCGUGGGGGAAUGAAGGUCUUCGGAUUGUAAACCCCUGUCAUGUGGGAGCAAAUUAAAAAGAUAGUACCACAAGAGGAAGAGACGGCUAACUCUGUGCCAGCAGCCGCGGUAAUACAGAGGUCUCAAGCGUUGUUCGGAAUCACUAGGCGUAAGGCGUGCGUAGGCUGUUUCGUAAGUCGUGUGUGAAAGGCGCGGGCUCAACCCGCGGACGGCACAUGAUACUGCGAGACUAGAGUAAUGGAGGGGGAACCGGAAUUCUCGGUGUAGCAGUGAAAUGCGUAGAUAUCGAGAGGAACACUCGUGGCGAAGGCGGGUUCCUGGACAUUAACUGACGCUGAGGCACGAAGGCCAGGGGAGCGAAAGGGAUUAGAUACCCGUGUAGUC
rnacentral:rRNA from 1 species